rnacentral:rRNA from 1 species
GGACUACACGGGUAUCUAAUCCUGUUUGCUCCCCACGCUUUCGUAGUUGAGUGUCAGUAUCUGUCCAGGUCGCCGCCUUCGCCUCUGGUGUUCCUCCCGAUCUCUACGCAUUUCACCGCUACACCGGGAAUUCCACGACCCUCUCCAGAACUCUAGUCUCACCGUUUCGAAGGCACUUCUUGGGUUAAGCCCAAGGCUUUCACCCCCGACAAAUGAGACCACCUACCUACCCUUUACGCCCAAUAAUUCCGAGCAACGCUUGCACCCUCUGUAUUACCGCGGCUGCUGGCAC